GGUCUCAUAGUACAAUGGAUAGUAUAGAGGCCUCCGAAGCCUUUGAUCUAGGUUCGACUCCUAGUGAGACCG
rnacentral:tRNA from 1 species